AUGCCCGGCCUCGCCCGAGCUCACCAUUCUCCUCCCCGUCCUCACAAAGGCCACCCCAACCACUCUACCGAGCUCCGGAGUCCCCCUUUGCCCUCCCUGGCCGCCUUGUCCAUCGCCGGCCGCCGCCUAAAUCCACUCAAUGCCGAGCUCCUCCCCCCUCCCCUCUCUUUUCCACUACCAGAGGCCUCCUCCACCACCGCAAACCUCCCCGCACCACCAGCUCCUCUUCUCCACGACCAGGACGCCGUACCCCAACUUCGACCGAAGACCAUCCCGCCGGAGUCCAAGCUUCUGUCGCCUCGGCCCUUCUCAGCGGUCGUGACCCAGCCCCUUGGAUGCGGCUCUUCCCUAUGA
rnacentral:rRNA from 1 species